UACGAAGGGGGCUAGCGUUGCUCGGAAUCACUGGGCGUAAAGCGCACGUAGGCGGAUUGCUAAGUCAGGGGUGAAAUCCUGGAGCUCAACUCCAGAACUGCCUUUGAUACUGGCGAUCUUGAGUCCGGGAGAGGUGAGUGGAACUGCGAGUGUAGAGGUGAAAUUCGUAGAUAUUCGCAAGAACACCCGUGGCGAAGGCGGCUCUCUGGGACGGUACUGACGCUGAGACGCGAAAGCGUGGGGAGCGAACAGG
rnacentral:rRNA from 1 species